GCGUUUUCGGAAGACAAGCGGGUUCUGUUCGAGCUUCUAAAGCACGAGGCGGGCAGGGUUCUAAACCCCGAAAAUGAA
rnacentral:tRNA from 1 species